rnacentral:misc_RNA from 1 species
GAUGAAGAACGCAGCGAAAUGCGAUAAGUAGUGUGAAUUGCAGAAUUCAGUGAAUCAUCGAAUCUUUGAACGCACAUUGCGCCCCUUGGUAUCCCGAGGGGCAUGCCUGUUCGAGCGUCAUUUCACCACUCAAGCCUGGCUUGGUGUUGGGCGACGUCCCCUUUGGGGACGCGCCUCGAAACGCUCGGCGGCGUGGCACCGGCUUUAAGCGUAGCAGAAUCUUUCGCUUUGGAAGUCGGGGCCCCGUCUGCCGGAAGACCUACUCGCAAGGUUGACCUCGGAUCAGGCAGGGAUACCCGCUGAACUGAAGCAUAUCAAUAAGCGGAGG